AUUCCAGCUCCAGUAGCGUAUAUUAAAGUUGUUGCAGUUAAAAAGCUCGUAGUUGGAUUUCUGGCUUUAUAGAACUGACCCGCCACGUUAGUGUGUGAGUGUCGGCUUCUAUAUGCCAUCCUUCCACAGAACGUUUCUACUCUUGAUUGAGCCGGAUUCGCAAUGUGGAACUUUUACUUUGAAAAAAUUAGAGUGUUCAAAGCAGGCUUACGCUAUGAAUACAUUAGCAUGGAAUAAUAAUCUAGGACUUUGGUUCUAUUUUGUUGGUUUCUAGAACUGGAGUAAUGAUUAAUAGGGAUAGUCGGGGGCAUUCGUAUUCAAACGACAGAGGUGAAAUUCUUGGACCGUUUGAAGAUGAACUAAGGCGAAAGCAUUUGCCAAGAAUGUUUUCAUUG
rnacentral:rRNA from 1 species